AGAGCGAACGCUGGCGGCAUGCUUAACACAUGCAAGUCGCACGGGCAGGGGAAACCCUGUCAGUGGCGGACGGGUGAGUAACGCGUAGGUAUCUAUCCUUGGGUGGGGGACAACGGCUGGAAACGGCUGCUAAUACCGCAUGAUGACCGAGGUCUAAAGGCGCAAGUCGCCUGGGGAGGAGCCUGCGUACGAUUAGCUUGUUGGUGGGUAAAGGCCUGCCAAGGCUACGAUCGUUAGCUGGUCUGAGAGGAUGAUCAGCCACAUUGGGACUGAGACACGGCCCAAACUCCUACGGGAGGCAGCAGUGGGGAAUAUUGGACAAUGGGCGCAAGCCUGAUCCAGCAAUGCCGCGUGUGUGAAGAAGGUCUUCGGAUUGUAAAGCACUUUCGACGGGGACGAUGAUGACGGUACCCGUAGAAGAAGCCCCGGCUAACUUCGUGCCAGCAGCCGC
rnacentral:rRNA from 1 species